UUGAAUUUGUGUCCCACACGGGUAAUGCACCUAAGUGCGGGUUUCGCAUUACUUGUUGCAUGUGUAUUGGUCAAACAGUAUGCAUGUGACUUUAAGUGUGACGGAUGUUUUACCGGUGAGGGAAACGAUUUAUACUUGUAGUUUUUUCAAUUUAUUGAAUUUCUACAUAGUUAAAUACGCCCCUUAUAUAACAAACCCAUUUUAGUGCUCUUCACCGAGUGCUAUUGUGGGCCGGUACAAUUACUUUGAACAAAUUAGAGUGCUUAAAGCAGGCUAAAUUUAAUGAAAAUUAAAACGCCUGAAUAUAUUUUGCAUGGAAUAAUGGAAUAGGACCUCUGUUCUAUUUGAUUGGUUUUUAGAUCAAGAGGUAAUGAUUAAUAGAAGCAGUUGGGGGCAUUAGUAUUACGAGGCGAGAGGUGAAAUUCGUAGACCCUCGUAAGACUGACUUAAGCGAAAGCAUU
rnacentral:rRNA from 1 species